AGACACGAUUUUAAAGCUUAUAAAGUGGGAUCGAAGAGGGAAUUGCUAAUCCAGACAAUAUGCUGCCGGGUCCGAUCAGAGAAAAUGGUGGGCCUGCAGUCUGAAACCAAAAGGAUGAAAUUGCAGUGAUCAUGAGUUCACACAAAUCACUUGGAGUAGAAGUAUUAUCCACAACCACAUAGACAAGGUUAAACUACUUAACAGGAAGAUAACAUUACAUGUUUAAUACCUCUAUAUGUGGAGAUGAAGAUUGAAUAUGACUGUGUCGGUGAUCAGUAUUGGCACUAUGGCUAACAUCAGUUCAGUAUAAGCCGCUGAAAUACUGUUAAG